rnacentral:rRNA from 1 species
AUACGGAGGGUGCGUGCGUUAAUCGGAAUUACUUGGCGUAAAGCGUACGUAGGCGGUUGGUUAAGUUAGAUGUGAAAGCCCCGGGCUUAACCUGGGAACUGCAUUUAAAACUGACGAACUAGAGUUGAGUAGAGGGGAGUGGAAUUUCAGGUGUAGCGGUGAAAUGCGUAGAGAUCUGAAGGAACACCAGUGGCGAAGGCGACUCCCUGGACUCGAACUGACGCUGAGGUACGAAAGCGUGGGUAGCAAACGGGAUUAGAAACCCUAGUAGUCC